GACGAACGCUGGCGGCGUGCUUAACACAUGCAAGUCGAACGGAAAGGCCCUGCUUUGGGGGGGUGCGCGAGUGGCGAACGGGUGAGUAACACGUGAGUAACCUGCCCUUGACUUUGGGAUAACUUCAGGAAACUGGGGCUAAUACCGGAUAGGAGCUCCUGCUGCAGGGUGGGGGUUGGAAAGUUUCGGCGGUUGGGGAUGGACUCGCGGCUUAUCAGCUUGUUGGUGGGGUAGUGGCUUACCAAGGCUUUGACGGGUAGCCGGCCUGAGAGGGUGACCGGCCACAUUGGGACUGAGCUACGGCCCAGACUCCUACGGGAGGCAGCAGUGGGGAAUAUUGCACAAUGGGCGGAAGCCUGAUGCAGCCACGCCGCGUGCGGGAUGACGGCCUUCGCGUUGUAAACCGCUUUCGCCUGUGACGAAGCGUGAGUGACGGUAAUGGGUAAAGAAGCACCGGCUAACUACGUG
rnacentral:rRNA from 1 species